rnacentral:rRNA from 1 species
AUAUCAAUAAGCGGAGGAAAAGAAACUAACAAGGAUUCCCCUAGUAACUGCGAGUGAAGCGGGAAAAGCUCAAAUUUAAAAUCUGGCAGAUUUUUGUCUGUCCGAGUUGUAACCUAGAGAAGUGUAACCUGUGCUGGACCGUGUACAAGUCUCCUGGAAUGGAGCAUCAUAGAGGGUGAGAAUCCCGUCUUUGACAUGGACUACCAGUGCACUGUGGUUGCACACUCAACGAGUCGAGUUGUUUGGGAAUGCAGCUCUAAAUGGGUGGUAAAUUCCAUCUAAAGCUAAAUAUUGGCGAGAGACCGAUAGCGAACAAGUACCGUGAGGGAAAGAUGAAAAGAACUUUGGAAAGAGAGUUAAACAGUAUGUGAAAUUGUUGAAAGGGAAACGCUUGAAGUCAGCUGCAUUGGCUGGGGAUCAAGCCAGCUUAUUUGCUGGGUGUACUUCCUGGUUGAUGGGCCAACAUCAGUUUUGACCAUCAGAGAAAGGCUAAGGGAAUGUGGCACCUUUAUAGGUGUGUUAUAGCCCUUGGUUGUAUGUGAUGGUUGGGACUGAGGAUAGCAGCGUGCCGCAAGGCCAGGUUUCGACCAUGUUCACGCUUUGGAUGUUGGCAUAAUGGCUUUAAGCGA